UCAAAGGCAGUGAAGAGGAGUAGUAGUCGUUGUCUGCUUUCCAGAGAGCCGGUGGUCGCUGCGAACCGGCAGGCAUGCACGAUGAACUCGCCUCCGAGCCGUUCCGGUGAACAGCAGUUUGCUAGCCGGAGCCGUUCUCCCGCGUCAAGGGUGCACGAGGCCUGACGAGCGUUGCUCUUCAGGCGAAGUAGGGUGGUACCGCGAAUGAGCACACAUGCCUUCGCCCCUUUU
rnacentral:ncRNA from 1 species